rnacentral:rRNA from 1 species
CACGUAGGGCGCAAGCGUUGUCCGGAAUUAUUGGGCGUAAAGAGCUCGUGAGCGGUCUGUUGCGUCCGCUGUGAAAACUCGGGGCUUAACCCCCGAGCCUGCAGUGGAUACGGGCAGACUAGAGGUAGGUAGGGGAGAAUGGAAUUCCCGGUGUAGCGGUGAAAUGCGCAGAUAUCGGGAGGAACACCGGUGGCGAAGGCGGUUCUCUGGGCCUUACCUGACGCUGAGGAGCGAAAGCGUGGGGAGCGAACAGG